UACAGAGGGUGCAAACGUUGCUCGGAAUCAUUGGGCGUAAAGCGCACGUAGGCGGCUUUUUAAGUCAGGGGUGAAAUCCUGGAGCUCAACUCCAGAACUGCCUUUGAUACUGGGAAGCUUGAGUCCGGGAGAGGUGAGUGGAACUCCGAGUGUAGAGGUGAAAUUCGUAGAUAUUCGGAAGAACACCAGUGGCGAAGGCGGCUCACUGGCCCGGUACUGACGCUGAGGUGCGAAAGCGUGGGGAGCAAACAGG
rnacentral:rRNA from 1 species